GCGAGCGUGGCGGAACGGCAGACGCGCUGGUCUUAGAAACCAGUCCUUCGGGGUGUGGGUUCAAAUCCCUCCGCUCGCACCA
rnacentral:tRNA from 1 species